rnacentral:rRNA from 1 species
UGGGGAAUUUUGGACAAUGGGCGAAAGCCUGAUCCAGCAAUGCCGCGUGUGUGAAGAAGGCCUUCGGGUUGUAAAGCACUUUUGUCCGGAAAGAAAUCCUUGGCUCUAAUACAGUCGGGGGAUGACGGUACCGGAAGAAUAAGCACCGGCUAACUACGUGCCAGCAGCCGCGGUAAUACGUAGGGUGCAAGCGUUAAUCGGAAUUACUGGGCGUAAAGCGUGCGCAGGCGGUUUGCUAAGACCGAUGUGAAAUCCCCGGGCUCAACCUGGGAACUGCAUUGGUGACUGGCAGGCUAGAGUAUGGCAGAGGGGGGUAGAAUUCCACGUGUAGCAGUGAAAUGCGUAGAGAUGUGGAGGAAUACCGAUGGCGAAGGCAGCCCCCUGGGCCAAAUACUGACGCUCAUGCACGAAAGCGUGGGGAGCAAACAGGAUUAGAUACCCUGGUAGUCCACGCCCUAAACGAUGUCAACUAGUUGUUGGGGAUUCAUUUCCUUAGUAACGUAGCUAACGCGUGAAGUUGACCGCCUGGGGAGUACGGUCGCAAGAUUAAAACUUAAAGGAAUUGACGGGGU